rnacentral:rRNA from 1 species
UGGAAUGCUUUAUGCGUAAAAUGGAUUCGUCUGCCCAAGGAUGGGUCUGCGGCCUAUCAGGUAGUAGUGGGUGUAAUGUACCUACUAGCCUACGACGGGUACGGGUUGUGAGAGCAAGAGCCCGGAGAUGGAUUCUGAGACAUGAAUCCAGGCCCUACGGGGCGCAGCAGGCGCGAAAACUUUACAAUGCGGGAAACCGUGAUAAGGGGACACCGAGUGCCAGCAUCAUAUGCUGGCUGUCCAGAUGUGUAAAAUACAUCUGUUAGCAAGGGCCGGGCAAGACCGGUGUCAGCCGCCGCGGUAACACCGGCGGCCCGAGUGGUGAUCGUGAUUAUUGGGUCUAAAGGGUCCGUAGCCGGUUUGGUCAGUCCUCCGGGAAAUCUGAUGGCUCAACCAUUAGGCUUUCGGGGGAUACUGCCAGGCUUGGAACCGGGAGAGGUAAGAGGUACUACAGGGGUAGGAGUGAAAUCUUGUAAUCCCUGUGAGACCACCUGUGGCGAAGGCGUCUUACCAGAACGGGUUCGACGGUGAGGGACGAAAGCUGGGGGCACGAACCGGAUUAGAUACCCGGGUAGUCCCAGCCGUAAACGAUGCUCGCUAGGUGUCAGGCAUGGCGCGACCGUGUCUGGUGCCGCAGGGAAGCC